CUCAGGUCUCAUAAAAUGGCAGUAAAGGCAGUAGGAAAUACAAUGAGAACAUCCCAUGGACCAAAUGGGCUUGAUAAGAUGAUAAUGGAUAAGGAUGGCAAUUUAACUGUAACUAAUGAUGACACCACCACCGUAAGCAUGACGGAUGUUGAUCAUCAGAUUGCCAAACUGAUGGUGGAACUGUCCAAGUCUCAAGAUGAUGAAAUUGGAGAUGGAAACACAGGAAUGGUUGUCCUGGCUGGCACCUUGUUAGAAGAAGCUCAGCAGUUGCUAGACUAAGGCAUUCACCCAAUCAGAGUAGCUGAUGUCUAUGAGUAGGCUGUCCACGUUGCUACUGAACACCUGGACAAGAUCAGCAAUAGCAUCCUUGUUUACAUAAAGGACACCAAACCACUGAUUCGGACUGCAAAAACCAUGCUGGGCUCUGAAGUGGUCAACAGUUGUCACUGACAAAUGGCUGAGAUUGCUGUGAAUGCCUUCCUUACUGUAGCAGAUAUGGAGCAGAGAGAUGUUGACUUUGAGCUUAUCAAAGUAGAAGGCAAAGUGGGCAGCAGACUGGAGGACACUACAUUGAUUAAGGGGGUGAUUGUGGACAAGGAUUUCAGUCACCCACAGAUACUGAAAGAAGUGGAAGAUGCUAAGAUUGCAAUCUUCACAUGACCAUUUGUGCCACCCAAACCAAAAACAAAGCAUAAGUCGGAUAUGACCUCCGUAGAAGAUUAUAAAUCCUUCAGAAAUAUGAAAAGAAGAAAUUUGAAGAGAUAAUUCAACAAAUUAAAGAGACUGGUGCUAACCUAGCCAUUUGUCAGUGGGGCUUUGAUGAUGAAGCAAAUCACUUACUUCUUCAGAACAACUGGCCUGCGGUUCGCUGGGUAGGAGGACCUGAAAUUGAGCUGAUUGCCAUUGCAGCAGGAGGGUGCAUCAUCCCCAGGUUCUCAGAGCUCGCAUCUGAGAAGCUGGGCUUUUCUGGUCUUGUACAGGAAAUCUCACUUGGGACAACUACAGAUAAAGUGCUGGUCAUCGAGCAGUGUAAGAACUCCAGAGUUGUAACGAUUUUUAUUAGAAGAGGAAAUAAGAUGAUCAUUGAGGAGAUGAAACAAUCCCUUCCCUAUGCUUUGUGUGUCAUCUGGAACCUCAUCCACUAUAAUCACAUGGUGUACAGAAGAGGGACUGUUGAGAUAUCCUGUACGCUGGCAGUUAGCCAAGAGGUGGGUAAGUGCCCAUCUUAGAACAGUACAUCAUGAGAGAGUUUGACAAAGUGCUGGAGGUCAUCCCCAUAACCCUGUCUGAAAACAGUGGCAUGAAUCCCAUCCAGACUAUGACCAAAGUCCAAGCCAGACAAGUGAAGGAGAUAAAUCCUGCUGUUGGCGUCAACUGUUUGCACAAGGGGACAAAUGACAUGAAGCAACAGCAUGUCAUAGAAAGCUUGAUUGGCAAAAGGCAGAAGAUAUCUCUUGCAACACAAAUGGUUAGAAUGAGCUUGGAGAUUGACAACAUUUGUAAGCCGGGAGAAUCUGAAGAAUGAAGACAUUGAGAAUACUAUGUAGUAAGAUCCACUACUGUGAUUAAAUAAAUGGAUGUGUUGUCAUGCAUCUACAGUUAUGUUUAUUAUUACAUCCUAUUUCAGACACUGUAGAUGGUGUAAUAAAAGUAGCUGUUUGGCACCCAGAGUUUCACUUGUUCAAAGCCAUGUAAUUGUGGAGGUACUAUCUCAACAUGCUUUUGUAUUCAUUAUAUCAAAGGAAUCUCUUUAAACAAACAAAAAAGAAAAA